ensembl:misc_RNA Metazoa_SRP Metazoan signal recognition particle RNA
GCUGGGUGUGGUGGUGCACGCCUAUAGUCCCAGCUACUUGGGAGGCUGAGGCAGAAGAAUUGCUUGAACCCAGGAGGCAGAGGUUGCAGUGAGCUGAGAUCAUGCCACUGCACUCUAGCCUGGGCAACAGAGCAAGACUCCGUCUCAA